UACAGAGGUCUCAAGCGUUGUUCGGAUUCAUUGGGCGUAAAGGGUGUGUAGGUGGCGCCGUAAGUCGGGUGUGAAAUUUCGGAGCUUAACUCCGAACCUGCAUUCGAUACUGCGGUGCUUGAGGACUGGAGAGGAGACUGGAAUUCAUGGUGUAGCAGUGAAAUGCGUAGAGAUCAUGAGGAAGACCAGUGGCGAAGGCGGGUCUCUGGACAGUUCCUGACACUGAGACACGAAGGCCAGGGGAGCAAACGGG
rnacentral:rRNA from 1 species